AGGGGAAAAAAAAACUAACAAGGAUUCCCCUAGUAACGGCGAGUGAAGAGGGAAGAGCCCAAGAUUGGAAGCUGGCGUCUUCGGCGUCCGCAUUGUAAUCUCAAGAAGUGUUUUCCGCUUCGGACCAUGCCCAAGUCCUUUGGAAAAAGGCAUCAUAGAGGGUGAUAGUCCCGUCCAUGGCAUGGAGCGCCCGGAGCUUUGUGAUACGCUUUCUAAGAGUCGAGUUGUUUGGGAAUGCAGCUCAAAAUGGGUGGUAAAUGCCAUCUAAGGCUAAAUAUUGGGGAGAGACCGAUAGCGAACAAGUACAGUGAUGGAAAGAUGAAAAGCACUUUGAAAAGAGAGUUAAACAGUACGUGAAAUUGCCAAAAGGGAAGGGUAGGAGGUCAGAGAUGCGUCUUGGGAUUCAGCCUUGCCUUUUUUGCUUGGUGUUUUUCCCAAGCUGCAGGCCAACGUCGGUUUUGGGCACUGGAGAAGGGUGGAAGGAACGUGGCACCCUUCGGGGUGUGUUAUAGCCUUCCACUGGAUACAGCGACCGACACCGAGGACAGCAGCGUACUCGCAAGAGCGGGCCUUCGGGCACCUUUACGCUUAGGGCGUUGGCAUAAUGGCCUUCUACCACCCGUCUUGAAACACGGACCAAGGAGUCUAACAUGUAUGCGAGUCUUUGGGUGGCAAACCCAUCGGCGCAAUGAAAGUGAAUUCAGGUGGGAUCCGCAAGGUGCACCAUCGACCGAUCCUCACGUCUUUCAAGUCGUGGAUUUGAGUAAGAGCAUACCUGUUGGGACCCGAAAGAUGGUGAACUAUGCCUGAAUAGGGUGAAGCCAGAGGAAACUCUGGUGGAGGCUCGUAGCGGUUCUGACGUGCAAAUCGAUCGUCAAAUUUGGGUAUAGGGGCGAAAGACUAAUCGAACCAUCUAGUAGCUGGUUCCUGCCAAAGUUUCCCUCAGGAUAGCAGAAACUCACAUCAGUUUUUAUGAGGUAAAGCGAAUGAUUAGAGGGCCUUGGGGAAAGUAACUUUCCUUAACCCUAUUUCUCAAACUUU
rnacentral:rRNA from 1 species